rnacentral:rRNA from 1 species
GAAAGCUAUCUUGCUCAUUUCGGUGAUACUUUCAUGGAGGAUGCUGAAGGUGAAGGGGAAGGUGAAGGGGAAGGUGAAGGUGAAGGUGAAGAAGAGGCACGUGAUGAGACCAUUGAUGAUCUUGGUCGGACCAUUGCUAACGCACGGAGACGCUGCGAAACUGAAAAGGAGAGGGAGAAUUUGGAUCGCAUGUUAGAGGAUCACAGAAAGUCGUUGUACCCUGGAUGCGAUGAUGGUCUGAAAAAGCUGGGCUGCACACUGGAUUUGCUGAAAUGGAAGGCACAGGCAGGUGUAGCUGACUCGGCAUUUGAAAACUUGCUGAAAAUGUUGAAGAAUAUGUUUCCAAAGAAUAACGAGUUGCCCGCCAGUACGUACGAAGAAAAGAAGGUUGUCUGCCCUCUAGGUUUAGAGGUUCUGAAGAUACAUGCAUGCAUCAACGACUGCAUCCUCUACCGCGGUGAAUACGAGAAUUUGAAUGAAUGCCCGGUAUGCACUGCAUUGCGUUAUAAGAUCAGAGGCGAUGACCCUGGUGACGAUGUUGAGGGCGGGAAACCCAGGAAGAGGGUUCCCGCCAAGGUGAUGUGGUAUGCUCCUAUAAUACCACGGUUGAAACGUCUGUUCAGGAACAAAGAGCAUGCCAAGUUGUUGCGAUGGCACAAAGAGGACCGUAAGUCGGACGGGGAGUUGAGACACACCGCAGAU